CGUAAUGAUGAGCGUAAUUUGCGAUUGAUACCGCACAGUUGGCGCCCUUUCGCCGGGGUUGCUACAUCUGGCGGACAUAUGAUAGUCAUUCUUACAUAUUCUGAAC
rnacentral:snoRNA from 1 species